rnacentral:rRNA from 1 species
UGAACGCUGGCGGCAAGCCUCAUACAUGCAAGUCGAGCGAGAACGUUACUUCGGUAGCUAGUAAAGCGGCGGACGGGUGAGUAACGCGUAGGAAUCUACCUUUCAGCGGGGGAUAGCUCGGGGAAACCCGAAUUAAUACCGCAUACACCCUAUGGGGGAAAGAGGGCCUAUCCUUGGAAGCUCUCGCUGUUAGAUGAGCCUGCGUGAGAUUAGUUUGUUGGUGGGGUAAUGGCCUACCAAGACUACGAUCUCUAGCUGGUCUGAGAGGACGAUCAGCCACACUGGGACUGAGACACGGCCCAGACUCCUACGGGAGGCAGCAGUAGGGAAUAUUGGACAAUGGGGGCAACCCUGAUCCAGCUAUGCCGCGUGUGUGAAGAAGGCUCUAGGGUUGUAAAGCACUUUAGGUAAGGACGAAAAGAAUAUAGUUAAUACCUAUAUUCCGUGACUUAACUUACAGAAUAAGGACCGG